rnacentral:rRNA from 1 species
UACGUAGGGAGCAAGCGUUGUCCGGAAUCAUUGGGCGUAAAGCGCGCGUAGGCGGCCCCGUAAGUCCGCUGUGAAAGUCAAAGGCUCAACCUUUGAAAGCCGGUGGAUACUGUGGGGCUAGAGUCCGGAAGAGGCGAGUGGAAUUCCUGGUGUAGCGGUGAAAUGCGCAGAUAUCAGGAGGAACACCAAUAGCGAAGGCAGCUCGCUGGGACGGUACUGACGCUAAGGCGCGAAAGCGUGGGGAGCGAACAGG